rnacentral:lncRNA from 10 species
AGCCAAGAUAGUACCACUCUACUCCAGCCUAGGCGACAGAGUGAGACUCUGUUUCAAAAAUAAUAAUUAUUAUAAUUAUUUUAAAAAAUGAAAAAAUUACAAACCUCCCUUGUAAAGAAGACAUACAACUAACAUUCAUUAAGAGAUUAUAUCAUUCCGGACACACUCUCUCACUUAAGGGUCACAACAGCCCUAUGAGUUAGGUUCCAUAACUAUUUUCCCCAUUUUACAAAAGAGGUAAAGAAAUUAUAGAGACGUUAAGUGAUUUGUUAAUUAAGUAGUAAAGCUGAGAUUUAAACCCCGCAUUCUGAGCCUAAAGUUCUGCACUAGACCUUUACCCUUUCACUGUAGUAUUCAAGCUCUAUAAAAAUGCAGUCAGUGCUUGGAAGGGCAACUUUGAAAGCUGGUCAUUAUGUCACAAUUGUGUUUGUGACAACAGGUGUUAAGAGGAAGAGAGGAGCAAGCAUAUAUAUAUGGCACUCCAGGAAGAUGAAGGUGGGAUUAUAGAAGUAAGAGUUAAAAACUGGGGAAUGGAGGUUACUAACACCCAGAUUUCAAAGAUGAAUUUUCUAACUUAAAUUUACUGAAGACUCUAUCCUCUGGGGAAGGCGUGUUUAAAUAAAACCAAGGAAGGUUUUUUAUAACAUGAAGUGAUUCCUUUAAAUGAAAUUGAGUAUAUAACAUGCUGGUAUUGUUCAUUAAGAAUAAUUUGCUUAAAAUUGCCUACAAUCAAGAAUUUUAUGCAACCAUUGUAUUGAUUUUAUAAUUGACAGACUGGUGUUUACUUUAAAAUGUGCCAAUGAGUAAACUGAGUCUUUAUUGACAUUUAUACACACUAAAUUAAACUGAAAACCAACUUCUUUUUUUCAGCUUGCUUUGCUGUGACUAAAGAGAACUUGUAAGGAAGCCUGUGUCCAUAGAUUGUCAUGGUAGCUCGCAACCUUUACUUUCUUUACGUGUGUCAAGUAAUUCCAGGGAGUAGACGGUAAAUUGGCACAUCUUUCCAUUAAGUAGGACUUGUUUGCCUUCAAAGAGGGGAGACAUUGCCUCCUCCAAGUGAUAGAGGGAUGAGAAAACCUUUAAAUAUAGUCAGAUGGAAAAUGGUUGAAAUGUUUUGUUUUAACAUAUGCCUUCUGGUAUUUUUUAUUUUCAAAAUAAAAAAUGCGUUUUUCAUUUCAUUUAUGGUAAUUAACACACUUCAUUUGUUUUCCUUUUGUGGUUUUUGACUUUUUCAUUUGAUUGAAGAGCCUUUCUUUCAAGGCAUUUGUCUGCUCCCUGGUGGUCAGAUAAAAAUUUGCAACUUCAAGUGUUCAAACGGUUUUUUUUUUCCCCAACCUUAAAAAAAAAAAAUCCUUCAAAUUGGCAUUCAGAAGUGUGUUACCUCACAUUUUAUCAGCAGAUGGAUCCCGCAUUAAGUUAUUGUUUCCUUAAUCCAACUGAGGUUCCAAAUGUUCCUUUUAUUAUAACGUAUACAGGGAAAUUUCAAUAUGCUUACUUUCUAGUGUAUGCAGCUGUAGUCUGGGAGGUCUGAUGUUAGGGAAAAAGAAGGAGGAAAGCAAGAUUAAAAAUCAUUCCUGGAAAUGCAAGAGAAAAUGUGCUGGAGUGGUGCUGUUAGUACCAGGGACACUGGACAAGAAAGAUAAGCAAGCCACUGCUGUCUGAUUCCUACAUAGCAGGUUUGUAUUUUGUGACAAAGGUAGCAUGUAUUAUUUUCUGUGCCCAGAAAUUUCUAAUAGGAAUAUGUAUUAUAAUGACAUCUUUCAUACUGUGAUGUUGAAACCAUCUCCACAAAGUUCACAAGAAUUGCAUGUUGAGUUCUGGACAGAAAUAUAGUUAUAAUUAAGCAUUAAUCAGGCUGCACUCUGGCCCACUUCCUUGUUGUUAAAACUCAUGUAGCACUAGAUACUGGCCAUUUGCAUGCUCAUUGUUCCAUAGAUAGAAUUUCUGACAUUAGGGUCAUAGGCUGUUUAAGAAUCGAUUUGCAUGCCCACUGCUCCCAUAGGGAGGAUGUCUGACAUGAGUGUCAUAGACUAUUUAAGAAAUAAUUUGCAUCCCCGUUGUUCCUACAGACAGGAUCUCUGUCAUUAGAAUCAUAAGGCUUUUGUUUAAGGCUUUUGUUAAAUUUUGUAAAAUUUCUCAUUUCUUGUGAUUUCUAUUCUCAUUCUAAAUAAAUACAUUUAUAUCUUUGCAAUUUUUCUUUAAGACCUUACUUCUGCUUCACUCAAGAUUGUUUUUCAGACCCCUAAUUCCAGCAGCCAGUUUGAAGACCCCCACAGAAGAGUGAGAUCAGCAGAAUACACCUCAUUCAUCUCCCUAUUCCAUGACUUCACUGUGCACUCUGGGACCAAUCAACAAUCUCCACACUUCAGUUCACUCCAAAACCCUUAAAAAUUUUAUCCUCAAAUUCUUCAGGGAGAUGGAUUUGAGGCUUCUUCCCAUCUCCUUGUUCAGUGACCCUACAAUUGAAUCUCUUUCUCUGCGCCAGCUCAGCAUCUUGGUGUAUUGACUUGCUGUAUGCAUCAGGCAAUAAGCCUAUUACAGCUACGGUAGUCUAUCCAAUAUGAAACAAGAAAUGAAAUUCUGUUAAUGCCAUGUUGAGUAUUAUCCUGGCUCUAAAAGUAUAUUUGAAAUGAGAAUUGUAAAUCCAAAAGCUUGUUUAAGUACAAUAGGCAAAUUUUACUGGAACAUAUAAAUAUGAUGGGCCUCUAUUUAUUGGCCUAUCCAGUUUCUUCAAAAGGCUGGAAAAAGUAAACCUUUCCCUUACAGUUUUGUAUGCUUCUCUAGGUUCUAAAUUAGGUAUUUAUCUAAAUAGUAUAGAAUUCGUGUUUGUAAUUCAGGAGGUAAAAAAGAGUAUUAAAGGGACUUGAUUUAGUUUUAGACCCAGGAAACACUGCAAGCACUUUGAUGUGCUGGAUGUCCUGCAGUUGGUGGCUUGUGUUGAUACUGGCAAUGAACCAUACUACUGACUAGUUUUUCUUGUACAGGCAAUGAGAAAGAUUAGCAUAUUGGCUUAAUCAAUUUUUAAUGAAGGAGAUAUAUACUAAUGACCAAAUAUUUGAUACUGCUGUUACAGAAGAGCAAAAUUUAAAUUUUCAAAAGGACAGAAUUAUUAGGAGAACUACUUUGGGAACUGGAUUUUCUAUAUAAUCGUUUGUUCCCAUCUUCUAAUUGUCCCCUGGCUUUCUUCUUCAGUCUAGGAUAUGGAUGAAUAAUUAAACGAAGAAAUAUUUCAGAUUCUUGCCUGUAUGGAUUUUAUACAUAGCAUUCAAGCACUGCUGAUUUACCAUGAAUCGAUUAUACUUUACUGUGGGCUCAGUCUUUGAUCAUUUGCUCUUUUGGCUAACUAGCAAGAUUAAGUGAUUUGUCCUAAAUCAUGCUCUAAGAAUUAAGACUUCAUUAAUAAUGCACUAAGAAUUAUAUACAUGCUACAGAAAGCAAUCUUAGAGAUCUGUAUUUGUCAAGACUCCUGACUGCGUGUGACUUAACAUGAAUCAGUUUAUUGGUCCCCUAAUGACUACAAUGUGGGAAAGAUAGAGUGGAGGGAUAUAGAGAUUCUCUUUAUCCACAUAAACCGAAGAAAUGUAGAAUUUAAGACUUUGUGUUUCUAACACUGUAGGAGAGAACAGUUCAUUCAGAGCUCUUAAUAUUUUAGGAACUAGAGAUUAAUUUAGUAAAAAUUACUAGAUCAUCAAUGUCACAUUUGUUUGAAUUGUAAAAAGUUGCCUCCAGCAGAAGGAUUGAAAAAAAAAAACAAAAAACAAAAAAACAACAAACAAAAAAAAAAAACCAAACACUCUCUGGGCAGAUGAAUUACAAAAGGCAUCUCUUUGGGUAAAUAAACAAUGAAAAUCUAAAAAACAAAACACUCUUUUAAACUGAUAAACAACCCAAGGCUAACAAACCAGCCUUCCAUUUACCCUCUUGGCUGGAUGCAUUUGUGAAAAGUACAAUCUGCAAAAUCAUACAAUUGAUUUUGGAGAGUUCAUCGGAUUUUUCUGAAUCUUGAAUACAGUAUUACGCUGGACUCUUUUUUUGGUGUUGGAGGGCAGUAUCUGCCAGGCUCACAAUGAAGUCAUUAAUUUUGUUAUUACAUCUCUUCCACCACCACUUCCCACCCCUGGCAACUACAGUGUACCACAUGACCACAAAUUCUUGCUCACGGUGGAUUGGACACCGGACCUAAGUUGGGCCAAUCAGAACUACUUCCCGGCAACUUGCGAUUGUCACUGAAAGAAAUUGUAAUCCUCCUUAGAGGUGCUGCAGUGUGGGCAGCUUCCAUGCACAACAUGCAACAUUUAAAAACCCAGUAUAGGCAAAGAAAGAAUGAAGCAGACAUAGAGGGAAGUGUGGAGAGAAGCUACAUAUGGUGGAGAUGACCCUCUGCUCUUCUGAAGGCCUUUGGGGUCUGAUACAAACCCCUGUGUCCCAAUUAUAAAUUCUCCUUUUCUUCUUUACCUAGGUUAAAGUGUUGGAUUCAUAAUUCUCACUUCAGGAAGACUGAAAACCAGACUUUAUUCUGCUAGAUCCCAAGAUAUCAAGGAAGAGGAAAAGGGAAGAGCCCCAGGCACUAUUAAACCACAGCUACAAUCACUGCCAUUUGAAACUUCCCACCAAACAACUUUACUAUUCUGAUUUAAUUUCAACUCCCAGGGAGAGUUAGUAUUAAGAGGAAGUACCUAUCAUCCAUGAUAAUCCACCAGCUCUGGGGGUUUAGAAGGGAAAGGAUGGAGGUCUCAGUGCUUGAGGCUAGGCUGACAGCUGAGCAGGGCUCCAGCUCACCUUAAUCUCACUCCUGUGGAUGCCUGCACUAGGGGCCUGAGCAUUCUCCCAGAUCUCUGCAUAGGAGGCUGCCCUUAGGCAUUAUUAAGGUGUGAAAGCAGCAAGAAAGAGCAGAAUUAAACUGCUUUUCUCUAAUGUAUCCUUUUACAGCCCAGUGUAUUUUGCCCUAGGCUAGCCUUUUCUUCUCCUUUCACCCUCCACAUGCCAGUCCGAGACAGCCUUUCUUCUCACAGGAAUUAUUGUAUUAUUUCUUAAAUUCUUUUUUUCUUCUCCAUGGCUUUUCUAGAGGAAACCUAACAGUGUGGGUUUAUCAAUCAUUUUGACAAGACUCUGAAUUCCACUGAACAGAUUUUUGAAUAAAAAUUAUGAACAAAGAAAGUGUAGUAAAUCUGCUAAUAGAAAAACUGACUAUGCCUUGUGGGAAAAUUUUUGUGUGUGUGACAUUCCAUCGUGUACCUGCCAGAGAAGAAAACAAUUGGGCCUGUUACUCAAAUUGUUCAAUUUUUAAGCAGGUCCAUUGUUAUGAUUGGACUUUAUUCCAAUAUAAGCACUUGCAAAAGGAUGACAUAAAGUGAGAAUAUAAUAGAAUGAUUAUAUGUAAUGAGUUUACUGAAGAACUUCUACAUCUUGGAGUACAAACAAUGUUUUGGAUUUUUUUGUUUGUUUGUUUUUUUCCCAUCAUUUUCGGCAGUGUUUUCUUGCAUUUCUCCUUGCAAGCCUUUUAAACAAUAUCAUCUACAAUUUUCUGCUUGCUUAUGAUUAUCAAAAUUAAACCCAAUUCUAUUUAUUUAAAACUGCAACAUUUUUAUAUUUGAUCUAAAGUUCUUCUUACCCCAAGCAUACUUAAUCAGUCCUGCUCAGUGUUGCCCAUAGAAUGUUUUUGGUCUAUGAAUGAUUUGCUAGUGGUCAGAGGCAAAUUAAGUAUUUAGAUAUAUGUAUAUUAAUUUGACUUUUAUGUAACAUCCAAUCCCAUAUAAGCACCUUCUUAAACUCUGAGGCCCUAUCAUAAGCACCUUCUUAAACUCUGAGGCCCUAUCACAUGGACCCAAUGGCACUGCUGAGGCCCUCUUCCGUAAAUCCUGAUAAUCACAGGGAAUUGGGAUGUAGUGGAGAUUUGUUCCCAUCAUCUUCCCAAGCACCACAUUUCCUUCAAGCUCUGUUGGUACAGAACCUACAGAAGUCUUCCCUAACUUAGUGUCUUGUCCAUGUGCGCCCCCACACCUUGAGGGGCAGAUCUCAAAGCUCUCUGAAAAGCCCUCAUGACUUUCAGCUACAGAAGCAAUGGCACCUUUGAAGAACUCAAGAUUACUGCAGCUCAGCUUCAUCUACCUGGGGAGUCAGUUUCCAAAGAUAUUUCCUUAUAGUCACCUCUUGUCCUGGUUUAUUUUUGUUGCUAUAACUGAAUACCUGCUACAUCUGGUAAGGGGCUUAUUGCUGGUGGGGACUCCCUUUAGAGUCUCCUGGCCUUCAAUGUAGGGCAUCACAUGGUGAUGAGCAUAUAAGGGAGAAGCAAAGUGGCUUUGAUAAUAGACUCAGCUACAUGACAAACCAUUAGUCCAUUGACCCACUAAUUCAUCAAUUCAUGAAUGGAUUAAUCCAUUUGCAAAAGCAGGGCCCUCGACCCAAUCAUCUCUUAAAGGCCUUACCUCUUAAUGCUGUUACAUUAGGGAUUAAGUUUCAACAUGAGUUUUGGAGGAGACAAAUAUUCAAACCAUAGCACCCCUACAUUUUUAAAAAUCAUAUAUAUACAUAUUUUUCUUUUUUUCAUAGCUUUAUGAGGUACAUGAGAAAUUUUGUUACAUGUAUCUAAUGAAUAGUGAUCUAAUCAGGUUAUUCAGGGUGUCCAUCACCUGAGUACAAUACAUUUUUGCUAAGUAUGAUCAUUCUAAUGUGCUAUCACACAUUGAAAUUAUUCCAUCUUACUGUAUGUUUGUAAGAUUUAACCUACUUCUUUUCAUCCUACCCCUGCCCCCCACCCUUCCUAGUCUCUGCUAUCUAUUUUUCUACUCUCUCCCUCCACGUGUUCAAAUAAUUUAUCUCCCACAUAUAAUUGAGAACAUAUGAUUUUUGUGUUUGUGUGUCUGGCUUAUUUUACUUAACAUAAUGUUCUCCAAGCUCAUCCAUGUUACCACAUUUUUUAUGGCUGAAUAGUAUUCCAUUUUGUAUAUACAUCACAUUUUCUUUAUCCAUUUAUUUGCUGAUGGUUGAUUCAAUAUAUUUGCUAUUGUGAAUAGCGCUGCAAUAAACAUGUGAGUGGAGGUAUCACUUUGAUGUAUUGAUUUAUUUUCAUUUGGGUAGCCACCCAGUAGUGGAAUUGCUGGAUCAAAUGGUAAUUCUAGGCCUGGCACAGUGGCCCAUGCCCAUAAUCCCGGUACUUUUGGAGGCCGAGGAGGGUGGAUCAUUUGAGUUCAGGAGUUCGAGACCAGCCUGGCCAACAUGGUGAAACUCUCUCUCUACUAAAAAAAAAAAAAAAAAAAAAAAAUAGCUGGGUGUUGUGGUGCACACCUGUAAUCCUGGCUACUCAGGAGGCUGAAGUAGGAGAAUCACUUGAACUUGGGAGGUGGAGGUUGCAGUGAGUUGAGAUUGUGCCACACACUCCAGCCUGGGCAACAGAGUGAGACUCUGUCUCAAAAAAAAAAAAAAAAAAGAAAAAAGAAAAAAGAAAAAAAGUUAUUCUAUUUUUAGUUUUUAAAGAAAUUUCCAUACUGUUUUUUAUAGUGGCUCUAGUAGUUUACAUUCUCACCAACAGCGUAUAAGAGUUCUCUUUUCUAUUCAUCCUUGCCAACAUCUGUUAUUUUUGUCUUUUUAAUAAAGCCAUUCUGACUGGUGUAAGAUUAUAUCUCAUUGUGAUGCUGAUGUACAAUUCUCUGAUGAUUAAUCUUAUAAAUUAUUCCUAGCUAUUGAAAAUGGGGUUGCCAUCUUGAUUGAGUAUUUUUUCAUUUACCUGUUGGCUGUAUGUAUGUCUUCUUUGUAGAAAUAUCUAGUCAUAUCCUUUGCCCACUUUCUAAUGGGAUUGUUUGUUGUUUUCAUCUCGAAUUGUUUGAGUUCCUUUUAUAUUCUGGAUAUUAUUCCCUGUCAGAUGAACAGUUUGCAGAUUUUUCUUCCAUUCAACAGGGUGUCUCUUCACUGUGUUGACUAUUUCUUUUGCUGUGCAGAAUCUUUUUAGUUUGAUUAGGUCCCAUUUAUUUAUUUUCUUUUCAUUGCCUUGCUUUUGAGGUCUUAUAAAUUCUUUGCCUGGGCCAGUGUCCAUGAGUUCUUCCUAGAUUUUCAUCUAGUAUUUUUAUAGUUUCAGAUCUUACACAUAAGUCUUUAGAACAUUUUGAGUUGAAUUUUUUUUUUUUUUUUUGACAGAGUCUCAUUCUGUCAUCCAGGCUGGAGUACAAUAGUGCAAUCUCAGCUUACUGCAGCCUCUGCCUCCUGGGUUCAAGUGAUUCUCCUGCCUCAGCCUCCUGAGUAGCUAGGACUACAGGUGCAUGCCACCAUGCCUGGCUAAUUUUUUGUAUUUUCAGUAGAGACGGGGUUUCACCCUGCUGGCCAGGCUGGUCUCGAACUCCUGACCUCAUGAUCCACCCACCUCGGCCUCCCAAAAUGCUGGGAUUACAGGUUUUAUUUAUUUUUGUUUUGUUUUGUUUUGUUUGUUUUUUGACAGGGUCUAAUUUUGUCAACCAGACUGGAGUGCAGUUGUGUGAUCACAACUCACUGCAACCUCUAUCUCCCUGAGCUCAAGCAAUACUCCUACCUCAGCCUCCUGAGCAGCUGGAACUGCAGGCACACCCUGCCAUAUCAAGCUAUUUUAUUUUAUUUUUUUGUACUUUUUGUAGAAAUGUGGUUUCUUGAACUGGUCUUGAACUCCUGGGUUUAAACAAUCCACCUUUCUCAGCCUCCCAAAGUGCUGGGAUUCUACUUUUAAUUUUUAAAGAAAUUUAAAACUAAAAUUUUAAAUAGGCUGAGAACAGGUGUGAGCCACCACAACUGGUGAGGACUUUUAUCAUGAAGAAAUGUUAAAUUUUAUAAAAUGUUUUUUCUGCAUCUAUUGAGAUGAUCAUAUGAUGCAUCACAUUUACUUAUUUGCAUAUUUUAAACCAUCCUGGUAUAAAUCCCAACUAAUGGUGGUAUAUUAUCUUUUUGAUGGGCUGUUGGAUUUGGUUUGCUAGUACUUUGUUGAGAAUUUUUGCCUUUAUAUUCAUCAGGGAUAGUAGCCUGAUGUUUUCUUUUUUUUUUUUUUUUGGUUGUGUCCUUGUCUGAUUUGAGGAUCGGGGUAUUGCUGGCCUCAUAGAACAAGUUAGGGAGAAUUUCUUCCUCUUCAAUUUUUUUGUAAUAGUUUCAGGAGAAUUGAUAUUAGUUUGUCUUUGUAUGUUGGAUAGAAUUCAGCUGUGAAUCCCACUGGUCCCAGGCAUUUCUUUUUUGGGAGACUUUUUAUUACUGAUUGAGUCUCACUACUUGUUUAUUGAUCUGUUUGGGUUUUCUUUGUCUUUCUGAUUCAGUCUUUGUGGGUUGUAUGUUUCCAGGAACUUACCCAUUUCCCAUAUGUUUUCUAGUUUUUCAGAAUAUAGUUAUUCAUAAUACUCUCUGAUGACCUUUCAUGUAUCUGUGGUAUCUGUUUUAAUGCCUCCUUUUCCAUUUCUGAUUUGUUUAUUUGGGUGUUUUCUUUUCUUUUUUAGUUUGACUAGCAGUUUUUCAGUUUUGUUUAUCUUUUCAAUGAACUAACUUUUCAUUCCACUGAUUCUUUGCAUUUUUUAAGCUCUAUUUCACUUAGGUCUGUUCUGAUCUGUGUUACUUCCUUUCUUCUGAUAAUUUGGGGUUUGGUUAGUUCUUUUCUUUUUUUUUUUUUUUUUUUUUCUUGAGAUGGAGUCUCCCACUGUUGCUUAGGCUGGAGUGCAGUGGUGCAAUCUCGGCUUACUGCAACCUCUGCCUCCUGGGUUCAUAUGAUUCUCCUUCAUCAGACUCCCAAGUAGCUGGGAUUAAAGGGGCCUGCCACUACGCCCAGCUAAUUUUUUGUAUUUUUAGGAGAGACGGGGUUUCAGUAUGUUGGCCAGGCUGGGUCUCGAACUCCUGACCUCAUGAUCUGCCCACCUCGGCCUCCCAAAGUGCUAGGAUUACAGGUGUUAGCCACCAUGCCUGGCCUGGUUAUAUCUUCUGUUUCUAACUCCUUGAGGUGCAUUGUUAGAUUGUUAGUUUGUAAUCUUUCUGCUUUUUUGAUGUAGGCAUUUAUUGUUAUAAACUUUCCUCCUAGCACCUCUUUUACUGUAUCACACAGGUUCUGGUAUGUUGUGUUUCCAUAUUUAUUUGUCUCCAGAAAUUUUUUGAUUUCCAUCUUAAUUUCUUUAUUGACCCAAUUGUCAUUCAAAAACAUGUUGCUUAAUUUUCAUGUAUGUGUACAGUUUCCAGAGUUCCUCUUGGUAUUAAUUUCUGGUUUUAUUCCAUUGUAGUCUGAGAGGUUACUUGACAUGAUUUUAAGUUUUUAAAUUUGUUGAGACUGAUUUUGUAGCCUAACAUAUGGUCUAUCCUGGAGAAUGCUCCAUGCGCCAAAGAAAAGAAUGUAUAUUCUUCAGUUGUUGGAUAGAAUGUUCUCUAAACAUCUGUUAGGUCCAUUUGGUCUAAAGUUUAGUUUAAAUCCAAUGUUUCUUUGUUGAUUUUCUGUCUAGAUGCUAAUGCUAAUGCUGAGAGUGAAGUACUGAAGUUUCCCCACUCUAAUUAUAUUCCAGUCUAUCUCUCUCUUUAGAGCUAGUAAUAUUUAUUAUGAAUCUGGGUGAUCCAGUGUUAACCCUACUAAAUUUUUCUGAUAGUUUAUCUUUAAGCUCCUCUCCUUCACAUGGGUUGGGCUGGGCAAGAGUGAAGGUGGACAUAGAAAAACCUCUCCCAAAAACAUCAUUUCUUACACUUUUAUUUCUCUGUUGAUCUGAUAUAUGGAAGAGGAAGGGUGCUUUGAAUUGAAUGGGCCCAGUGCUAUUAUUUUUAGAUAGUAUAGGGAUGAUAUGGUUUGACUCUGUGUCCCCACUGAAAUCUUAUCUCAAAUUGUAAUCCCCAUAAUCCCUAUGUGUCAAGGACAGGUCCAGGUGGAGGUAAUUGGAUCAUGGGGGUAGUUUCUCCCAUGCUGUUCUCAUGAUAGUGAGUGAGUUCUUGUGAGAUCUGAUGGUUUUAUAAGCAUCUGGCAUUUCCCCUACACAUACUCACUCCGCCUUGCUGCCAUGUAAAGAAGGUGACUGCUUCUCGUUUGCCUUCUGCCAUGAUUGUAAGUUUCCUGAGGCCUCCCCAGCAAUCCAUAACUAUGAGUCAAUUAAACCUCUUCCCUUUGUCAAUUAUCCAGUCUCAAGUAUUUCUUCCUAGCCGAGUGAGAACAGACUAAUAUAAUGGCUUUCUUUAGAGUAUGGGAAUAUGCAGUUAACUUCUAUUUCAUCUUCAAAUCUUAGCUAUAAUUCUGGCCCAAUAAAAACAUAUUACUCUCAUAUGUAAACAUGAGAUCUUAUAACAUAUAAUAUCAUAUCAUAUUUGCCUCAGUAGAUUGCAAUUGGAUUGAAAGAAGAAAGUCAAAACUAUCCUAUUAUUUGUCACAUUCUACAUAGGCAGCUGGGAACUUAAGCAGUGACUAUGCUGGGUAGCUUAACUUCUAAUGAGGAGCAACAGCCCAGGGUGCAGGGAAUUCCUAACUUUAGACCCAGCUAGGUUUCCUUUACUAUUAGUAAACCCUGCCUAAACGUUCAUAUGCAGGUAGUCUGUUUCUCUGAAAUAAAGGAUAUCACAAUAAUUAAAAUCUGUUAAUAUAUGUGAAGUUCUUAGAACAGCACUUGACACAUAGUAAGUACAAAUAUAAUGAAUUCUUAUAAUUGUAUGUUGCUUCAACAUCCAUUUUGAAUGUAAAUGGCUUGACUUUCCAUAUUCAAUGAGUUAAUAGGUUUGACUUCCUCAUACAAGAGGCAGAGCUUAGUCACCCUUGACAGAGUUUUCAGUUCUCCACCUCUUCCCAGUUUUUCAAGGUGUUUCAUUCAGAUAUCUGUCUCAUUAACUGCCUCCUGGUGACUACUUCCCUACGAGAUAGUUACAUUCAACCUACUUGCUCUACCCACUCCCACAUGUGGCAUGUGCUUUGUAGAUAGGCCACAGUGACCACCUUUCAGUCACUGCAGGACUGCAUCAAACUGCCCACUUGCUCUUAAACCCACCAGUUGUAACUCCCCACCGGAAAUCUACCUAGGAAAUGGCCUGAACCCCAAUAAAGUCUUUGGACCUCAGGUCUCUUACUCUAUCUCUCUUGCUCCCCACUUGACAGUUGAGUGUGUGUCCUGGACUCCCUCCUUCCUGUCGGUCCUGAAAAAUGUGCUGCUCUCUUCUCUCUAGGGUAUAUGUGAGUAAUAAAACUGCUUCUAUUAUUCCAUGUGAUAUAGUUUGGCUGUGUCCCUACCCAAAUUUCAUCUUGAAUUGUAGCUCCCACAAUUCCCACAUGUUGUGGGAGGGACCCAGUGGGAGGUAAUUGAAUCUUGGGGGUGGGUCUUUCCUGUGCUGUUCUCGUGAUAGUGAAUAAGUCUCACGAGAUCUGAUGGUUUUAAAAAGGGGAGUUUCCCUGCACAAGCUCUCUCUUUGCCUGCUGUCAUCCAUGUAAGGCGUGACUUGUUCCUCCUUGCCUUCCAUCAUAAUUGUGAGGCCUCCCAUCCAUGUGGAACUGUGAGUCCAUUAAACAUCUACCCUGUAUAAGUUACCCAGUCUCUGGUAUGUCUUUAUUAGCAGUGUGAAAACGGAUUAAUAUACCAUGUGUUUUGUUGUGCUGCCUCUUCUGCAUCUCACACGACCAACAUACCCGAACCUAACUUCUUUUCCAGUCAGGGCUCUCCUACAGAGUGGCUAUCUUGGUAGGAAUAAACUAUUCACAGGUCUGGUGAGAGUCACAAGGGCAUUUGCCAGUGUAAAUAAGUUUCCUGUGAGAAGAACAAUUGGACACGGGUCAGACACUUUAGCAAGUUAAGUAUUCUGACAAAAGAUAAAGGUCAGGAUAAAAAUGAAAUUAGAGAAAAAAAAUACAACUCAAUAAAUGUUAGCUGUUAAGUAUAGCUUUGUCUACCCAAAAUACUUCUCUAAUUAUCUUAUUUCGGUAAAACACUGUUGUAGAUUGCAAAAGCAGCCCAAUUUUCUGUUCCUCUGUGUAUAAAUGCCUUUUACAAUGAUCAAGAGGUAGAGACUUUUCCCCCAGUUGCUGACUCUGGGCUGGGCUAGUGACUUGUUUUGGCCAAUAGAAUGUGAUAGAAAUUACAUUUUGCCUGUCUGAGCCUAACUCUCAGAAGGUCUUGUGGACUUUUGCUCUCUCUUGAGAUUUUUUCCUCUAUUAUGAGAACAAGCCCAAACUAGCCUACUGAGGGUAAUAGACCAUGGGGAAAAAAGCUGAGUCACUUCAAUUGGAAGUCAGCCAACCCCAGAAACAGAGCUGCUUAGCUGAUGUUCAAUUGAUUACAGGCACAUGGGGAGGCCCAGCCAGUCAAACCCAGAACAGCCCGGCUGAGCUCAGCCUAAUUCUGUGACUUUCAGGAUGAGUAACAAAAUAAAUGAUUCUUAUUUUAAGUCAAAAUUUUGGAGAGCAAUCUUCCUCUUGUCAAUGUCUAUCUCAGUGCUAUUUCAGACUCCUUUCGUACUGUCAAAUCUCACUCAACUUUUAGCAUCUAUUUCAAUUGGCAUCUCUUCCAAGAAGAUUUUUCUAAUUUCCUCAAGUGAUGUGUUAUCUCCCCUAUAAUUGAACCCCAUUUUGAUAUUUGUGUCCCUUUUUAGCUUUUUUUUUAACUUGUUUUCUAUUAGAGGUGUUAGUGUCCUACUCAUCUUGCUUUUCCUACAGCUAGUAAGUGGACAUCCAGGAGGUACAAGGAUAUAUCCCAGACCUGGCCAGUCAUGCUACCAUUUCCCAUAAUAAUCUCCUUAAGAAAUGAAGAGCUAUAAGAAUGGAAUCGAGACUAGGAGAGGAACAUCCAAAGGAGAGAAAAUGACUGCAGUGGGAGAGAACAAGAGCUACGAUCAAAAAGAGGAGAGACAAGCAGCACUGAGGAAGACAGAAGGGUAAGAAGAGAUGAUGUCAGAAGUGGGAUCCAAAGAAAAGCUUCCAGUGACCCCCAGGAGCACUGAGUGACCAAGCAAGCAAGAAAAGGUUAAAUGACUUGUGCACUGGGAAGAAAAAAAAAAAAAACAGUUGUCAUCCGUGGUGCCAAAAAUAGAAGUUCUGAUUUCCAGUCCUGUGAUCUCAACAGAAGACAGAAUGUUCACUCUAUCUGACUGAUACAAAAUACAACUUCUCCAAGGACUCUAUUAUUUUGAACUACUGUGUGCUGCACAUAUGCCAGGAGCUGAUUCAGUGGUUUCAUCCAAAUGUAAAGCAAAAUAUGGAAUUAUUUCAACAUAUAAUAAUAACUACUGUUACACUUAUGUAAGGCAAUAAAAAUAUUUUUGGCAAAAGCUUGUCCUGCUUUCUUUUUUGAGCAUAAUUUAUGUUUUACAAUCUUGUUGGCAAAAGUGUGACCUAUGUCUGUUUUUGUUCUGGUGAGUGCAACUAAGAAUGAUGCCACUGUCAUUUUUGUUCUUUUCUCUGUUUUGCAUGACAACAUUAAUAACUUUCACAAGGAAAAGUAUUAACUAGCAAAUAUUUCUGAAAAACUCAGAUAACCACAAAGAU